CAGAAUGAACGCUAGCGGCAGGCUUAACACAUGCAAGUCGAGGGGCAACGCGAGUAGCAAUACUUGGCGGCGACCGGCGCAAGGGUGCGUAACGCGUGAGCAACAUGCCCGUAUCAGGGGGAUAAUCCAGGGAAACUUGGUCUAAUACCCCAUAGUAAUUUUGUAAGGCAUCUUAUAAGAUUUAAAGCUUUGGUGGAUACGGAUUGGCUCGCGUGACAUUAGCUGGAUGGUAAGGUAACGGCUUACCAUGGCUAUGAUGUCUAGGGGUUCUGAGAGGAAGGUCCCCCACACUGGAACUGAGACACGGUCCAGACUCCUACGGGAGGCAGCAGUGAGGAAUAUUGGACAAUGGAUGGAAAUCUGAUCCAGCCAUGCCGCGUGAAAAGGAAGAAGGUCCUAUGGAUUGUAAACUUCUUUUGUAUGGGAGCAAUAAGGCCUACGAGUAGGUUGAUGAGAGUACCAUACGAAUAAGCACCGGCUAACUCCGUGCCAGCCGCCGC
rnacentral:rRNA from 1 species